UACGUAGGGUGCGAGCGUUGCCCGGAUUUAUUGGGCGUAAAGGGCGCGCAGGCGGCUACGCACGUCCGUUGUGAAAUCGCUCGGCUCAACUGGGCGGGGUCAGCGGAUACGGCGUGGCUGGAGCAAGCUAGGGGGCAAUGGAAUUCCCGGUGUAGUGGUGGAAUGCGUAGAUAUCGGGGGGAACACCAGUGGCGAAGGCGGUUGCCUGGAGCUUUGCUGACGCUGAGGCGCGAAAGCGUGGGGAGCGAUCCGG
rnacentral:rRNA from 1 species